rnacentral:rRNA from 1 species
UGGCGCGUGCGUGGGGCCUAAUCUGGUAGUAGCCAAGUGAUGGGGUGACGCAGUGGGGUAGCCGUGCCACUUAUUGGAUUGUGGUGUAAGCGUGUAGCACGAGGGGACAGGCAAAUCCGCCCCUCAUGAUGUGUGAGACGUGAUGCGUAGCCCGUUGUGGGUGAUGUCGGUGAUCCCGUGCUGUCGAGAAAAGCCUCUAGCGAUGUACAUACAUGGCCCGUACCCCAAACCGACACAGGUAGUCAGGUAGAGAAUACUAAGGCGUUCGGGUGAACUGUGGUUAAGGAACUCGGCAAAAUGCCCCCGUAACUUCGGGAGAAGGGGGGCCGUCACUGGUGAAGCAUCUUGCAUGUGGAGCUGGUGGUGGUCGCAGAGAAUAGAGGGAAGCGACUGUUUAUUAAAAACACAGGUCCGUGCGAAAACGAUGAAGUUGAGGUAUACGGACUGACGCCUGCCCGGUGCUGGAAGGUUAAGAGGACCUGUUAGCGACCUUCGGGUUGCGAAGCGGAGAAUUUAAGCCCCAGUAAACGGCGGUGGUAACUAUAACCAUCCUAAGGUAGCGAAAUUCCUUGUCGGGUAAGUUCCGACCUGCACGAAUGGCGUAACGACUUCCCUGCUGUCUCAACCACAGGCCCGGUGAAAUUGCAGUACGAGUAAAGAUGCUCGUUACGCGCGGCAGGACGAAAAGACCCCGGGACCUUCACUAUAGCUUGGUAUUGGUGUUCGGUUCGGUUUGUGUAGGAUAGGUGGGAGACUUGGAUCACAUGACGCCAGUUGUGUGGGAGUCGUUGUUGAAAUACCACUCUGAUCGGAUUGGACACCUGAACCUUGGCCCAUGAUCUGGGUUGGGGACAGUGCCUGGUGGGUAGUUUAACUGGGGCGGUUGCCUCCUAAAAUGUAACGGAGGCGCCCAAAGGUUCCCUCAGCCUGGUUGGCAAUCAGGUGGUGAGUGUAAGUGCACAAGGGAGCUUGACUGUGAGAGUGACAGCUCGAGCAGGGACGAAAGUCGGGACUAGUGAUCCGGCACCAACUUGUGGAUGUGGUGUCGCUCAACGGAUAAAAGGUACCCCGGGGAUAACAGGCUGAUCUUCCCCAAGAGUCCAUAUCGACGGGAUGGUUUGGCACCUCGAUGUCGGCUCGUCGCAUCCUGGGGCUGGAGUAGGUCCCAAGGGUUGGGCUGUUCGCCCAUUAAAGCGGUACGCGAGCUGGGUUUAGAACGUCGUGAGACAGUUCGGUCUCUAUCCGCCGCGCGCGUUGAAACUUGUGGAAGGCUGUCCCUAGUACGAGAGGACCGGGACGGACGUACCUCUGGUGUGCCAGUUGUUCCGCCAGGAGCAGGGCUGGUUGGCUACGUACGGAAGGGAUAACCGCUGAAAGCAUCUAAGCGGGAAGCCUGUUUCGAGAUGAGGUUUCUUUUGAGGUUCCCCAUAGAUGAUGGGGUUGAUAGGCCGGAUCUGGUAGCACUGU